rnacentral:rRNA from 1 species
UACGUAGGGUGCAAGCGUUGUUCGGAAUUACUGGGCGUAAAGCGCGCGUAGGCGGCUUUGCAAGUUAGAGGUGAAAGCCCGGGGCUCAACCCCGGAAUUGCCUUUAAGACUGCAUCGCUAGAAUCCAGGAGAGGUGAGUGGAAUUCCGAGUGUAGAGGUGAAAUUCGUAGAUAUUCGGAAGAACACCAGUGGCGAAGGCGGCUCACUGGACUGGUAUUGACGCUGAGGUGCGAAAGCGUGGGGAGCAAACAGG